rnacentral:rRNA from 1 species
UACGGAGGGGGCUAGCGUUGUUCGGAAUUACUGGGCGUAAAGCGCACGUAGGCGGCUUUGUAAGUUAGAGGUGAAAGCCCGGGGCUCAACUCCGGAAUUGCCUUUAAGACUGCAUCGCUAGAAUUGUGGAGAGGUAAGUGGAAUUCCGAGUGUAGAGGUGAAAUUCGCAGAUAUCGGGAGGAACACCAGUGGCGAAGGCGGCGACCUGGGCCAAUAUUGACGCUGAGGUGCGAAAGCGUGGGGAGCAAACAGG